rnacentral:rRNA from 1 species
ACGAAGGGGGCUAGCGUUGCUCGGAAUCACUGGGCGUAAAGCGCACGUAGGCGGCUUUCUAAGUCAGGGGUGAAAUCCUGGAGCUCAACUCCAGAACUGCCUUUGAUACUGGAGAGCUUGAGUUCGGGAGAGGUGAGUGGAACUGCGAGUGUAGAGGUGAAAUUCGUAGAUAUUCGCAAGAACACCAGUGGCGAAGGCGGCUCACUGGCCCGAUACUGACGCUGAGGUGCGAAAGCGUGGGGAGCAAACAG